GACGAACGCUGGCGGCGUGCUUAACACAUGCAAGUCGAACGGAAAGGCCCUGCUUUUGUGGGGUGCUCGAGUGGCGAACGGGUGAGUAACACGUGAGUAACCUGCCCUUGACUUUGGGAUAACUUCAGGAAACUGGGGCUAAUACCGGAUAGGAGCUCCUGCUGCAUGGAGGGGGUUGGAAAGUUUCGGCGGUUGGGGAUGGACUCGCGGCUUAUCAGCUUGUUGGUGGGGUAGUGGCUUACCAAGGCUUUGACGGGUAGCCGGCCUGAGAGGGUGACCGGCCACAUUGGGUCUGCGAUACGGCCCAGACUCCUACGGGAGGCAGCAGUGGAGAAUAUUGCACAAUGGGCGGAAGCCUGAUGCAGCAACGCCGCGUGCGGGAUGACGGCCUUCGGGUUGUAAACCGCUUUCGCCUGUGACGAAGCGUGAGUGACUGUAAUGGGUAAAGAAGCACCGGCUAACUACGUG
rnacentral:rRNA from 1 species